rfam:Bacterium CSP1-2 XT11_C0008, whole genome shotgun sequence.
CGAGUGAACUGGGCGAUCGCUGGGUUUUCCAAUUUGGAUAACCCAGAGGAAAGUCCGAACUCCAUAGGGUAGAGUGCUGGGUAAUACCCAGGUGUCGUAAGACAACGGAGAGUGCAACAGAAAACAAACCGCCUAUGUUUUUCUAUCCUCUAUUAGAAUUAGAAAAACAGGCAAGGGUGAAAAGGCAGUGUAAGAGACUACCGCGCAGAAUGGUGACAUUUUGCGGCUUGUAAACCCCACUCGGAGAAAGACCAAAUAGGGAAGUAGCUGUUUUCUUUUUAAAGAGAACAGGCAGGUAGCCCGCCUGAUGCUUCCGGGUAGGUCGCAUGAGGCAUCCAGAAAUGGAUGUCCUAGAUGAAUGAUCGUCCAAGACAGAAUUCGGCUUAUAGGUUCGCUCGUCUC